CCAGCACAGGAGAGAUGAACAGAGGCAGCUGCUGUCUGUGUUACGCUUUUUAUUGUAAAAGCAAGCAGAGCAGAAACGGGCUACUCUUUAGUUGACUGAUCUAGCUGGCAAGACCUGAAUCGAACGAUGAAACCAGCGGCCAAACGACUGAAGAUUGAUAUUCUGACAUUUUUUCAGCACAAUGAUCAGAUGCUGACAGGUGUCCCUGCAGGGUCAGAC